UCAACGAUGAAUGUAAUUCUGAUGGUACUAUUAAGAACACUUGCUUAGCGCAGAAGCUGACGUUGGCAGGUCAACUCUUUUGACUUCUCGAAUAGGAUACCAUUGGUUUUUGUGCAAUGCACACCUGCAAUGCAUUCUGGAUUAGGAUAGGAUAUAGGUGGAUAGGAUUUGCAACAGAGAACAAUUCUGUCUUUGUAAUUGAAUGAUAUCAAACGUAGUUUUAUAUAAAAGGUGUUUUUUUAGACUUGGCUCGGGCCUAACUGAGACUGUUCGUAAUCGUGAACAGUGUAUUAAUUGCGAUCGGAAGUUGAAAGUAAGCAUGUCUCUGGUAUGCGACGCGUAUUUUGUACGUUUUCAGACGCGAUAAGGCAGCUCCCAUUACUUAUCUGCACUUUGUAUCUGGGCUGGUUUUUAAAGCUACAGAAGCCUACAUUAUCUCAUGCUUAGCAGCGCUUGCGAGAGAUAGAUCCUGAUUUCUUCUAGGAUUAAGUUUUCAUAUUUUGCAUCAGAAAAAAUAAUACUACUCACUCAAAGUAAUUUGUUUAAGGCCACCACAUUAGUGGAAGAUAAGCUAAACUAUGUUUAUGAAAAAAUCCUGAUAUGAACUCCAUCUGUAACUUUAAAUUAUAAUUAAUUGUUCCACUAAAGUCAUCAUUUUUGACAUAAUGUUCAAAAAAUAAUUUAGAUGGCACCGUUUUAAAUUUGGCUGAGAUCUAUUAAUUUUCCUUUCAUCAAGGUAAUAAUUAUAGUUGGAUUUUGAUGUGGCACGGCAAACUGACAAACACUAUUGAAAUGUCUAUCGAAAAAUUACA